GAUAUCAGGGUCGAAAGGUCUAUAUUCACGAUAUGCUCGCAUAAUCGUGAAUUAUAGACUUUGAGACCCACCACAACAUGAGGAAGCAGCCGCGUGUAGCGCGUGCGGAUUCCGAAUGUUGUGCAGGAUUGCGAGAGCUGCAUUGCAGCGAAGCAAUCCGUGAUA
rnacentral:sRNA from 1 species